GGGGAAUAUUGCGCAAUGGGCGAAAGCCUGACGCAGCGACGCCGCGUGAGGGAUGAAGGUUCUCGGAUCGUAAACCUCUGUCAGAAGGGAAGAAACCGCACCGUGCUAAUCAGCGGUGCAUUGACGGUACCUUCAAAGGAAGCACCGGCUAACUCCGUGCCAGCAGCCGCGGUAAUACGGAGGGUGCAAGCGUUAAUCGGAAUUACUGGGCGUAAAGCGCACGUAGGCUGCUUUGUAAGUCAGGGGUGAAAAUCCCACGGCUCAACCGUGGAAUUGCUUUGAAACCUCCUAGGUUGAAACCCGGGGAAGGGGGGGGAAAUUCCAGGUUAAGGGUGGAAUCCCUAAGUAACUGGGGGAAAAAUAAUGGGGGAGGGGGCCCCCUGGACCGGGAAUGGACCUUGGGGUGGGAAGCGUUGGGAGCAAACA
rnacentral:rRNA from 1 species